UACUCCUACGGGAGGCAGCAGUGGGGAAUUUUGGACAAUGGGCGAAAGCCUGAUCCAGCAAUGCCGCGUGCAGGAUGAAGGCCCUCGGGUUGUAAACUGCUUUUGUACGGAACGAAAAGCCUGGGGCUAAUAUCCCCGGGUCAUGACGGUACCGUAAGAAUAAGCACCGGCUAACUACGUGCCAGCAGCCGCGGUAAUA
rnacentral:rRNA from 1 species